UACGUAGGGUGCAAGCGUUAAUCGGAAUACUGGGCGUAAAGCGUGCGCAGGCGGUGAUGUAAGACAGUUGUGAAAUCCCCGGGCUCAACCUGGGAACUGCAUUUGUGACUGCAUGGCUGGAGUGCGGCAGAGGGGGAUGGAAUUCCGCGUGUAGCAGUGAAAUGCGUAGAUAUGCGGAGGAACACCGAUGGCGAAGGCAAUCCCCUGGGCCUGCACUGACGCUCAUGCACGAAAGCGUGGGGAG
rnacentral:rRNA from 1 species